rnacentral:rRNA from 1 species
GACGUAGGGCGCGAGCGUUGUCCGGAUUUAUUGGGCGUAAAGAGCUCGUAGGCGGCUUGUCGCGUCGGCUGUGAAAACUCGAGGCUCAACCUCGAGACGUCGGUUGAAACCGUAAGGCUAGAGUCCGGAAGAGGAGAGUGGAAUUCCCGGUGUAGCGGUGAAAUGCGCAGAUAUCGGGAAGAACACCCGUGGCGAAGGCGGCUCUCUGGGACGGUACUGACGCUGAGACGCGAAAGCGUGGGGAGCGAACAGG